rnacentral:tRNA from 1 species
GGACAUUUAGCUCAGUUGGUAGAGCAUCCGCUUGACGUGCGGAAGGUCAGCGGUUCGAGCCCGUUAAUGUCCACCA